rnacentral:rRNA from 1 species
GCAAGACUCCAGCUUGCUGGGGGGAUAGUGGCGAACGGGUGAGUAACACGUGAGUAACCUGCCCUUGACUCUGGGAUAAGCCUGGGAAACUGGGUCUAAUACCGGAUAUGACCAUCUGGCGCAUGUCAUGGUGGUGGAAAGCUUUUGUGGUUUUGGAUGGACUCGCGGCCUAUCAGCUUGUUGGUGGGGUAAUGGCCUACCAAGGCGACGACGGGUAGCCGGCCUGAGAGGGUGACCGGCCACACUGGGACUGAGACACGGCCCAGACUCCUACGGGAGGCAGCAGUGGGGAAUAUUGCACAAUGGGCGAAAGCCUGAUGCAGCGACGCCGCGUGAGGGAUGACGGCCUUCGGGUUGUAAACCUCUUUCAGUAGGGAAGAAGCGAAAGUGACGGUACCUGCAGAAGAAGCGCCGGCUAACUACGUGCCAGCAGCCGCGGUAAUACGUAGGGCGCAAGCGUUAUCCGGAAUUAUUGGGCGUAAAGAGCUCGUAGGCGGUUUGUCGCGUCUGCUGUGAAAGACCGGGGCUCAACUCCGGUUCUGCAGUGGGUACGGGCAGACUAGAGUGCAGUAGGGGAGACUGGAAUUCCUGGUGUAGCGGUGAAAUGCGCAGAUAUCAGGAGGAACACCGAUGGCGAAGGCAGGUCUCUGGGCUGUAACUGACGCUGAGGAGCGAAAGCAUGGGGAGCGAACAGGAUUAGAUACCCUGGUAGUCCAUGCCGUAAACGUUGGGCACUAGGUGUGGGGGACAUUCCACGUUUUCCGCGCCGUAGCUAACGCAUUAAGUGCCCCGCCUGGGGAGUACGGCCGCAAGGCUAAAACUCAAAGGAAUUGACGGGGGCCCGCACAAGCGGCGGAGCAUGCGGAUUAAUUCGAUGCAACGCGAAGAACCUUACCAAGGCUUGACAUGAACCGGAAAGACCUGGAAACAGGUGCCCCGCUUGCGGUCGGUUUACAGGUGGUGCAUGGUUGUCGUCAGCUCGUGUCGUGAGAUGUUGGGUUAAGUCCCGCAACGAGCGCAACCCUCGUUCUAUGUUGCCAGCGGUUCGGCCGGGGACUCAUAGGAA